GAGAGCAAAAGAAAAUCUUCUAUUUGAACCAACAUGGUUGGCGUGGUGGUUCAGCACCUCGUCCCUUAAGCAUGAAGUUGGGGGUUCGAUCUCCACCCAUGUGAAUAGAGCUCCCCUACCACUU